rnacentral:rRNA from 1 species
UGACGUCAAAUCAUCAUGCCCUUACUGACCUGGGCUACACACGUGCUACAAUGGGCGGUACAAAGGGUCGCGAACCCGCGAGGGGGAGCCAAUCCCAAAAAGCCGCUCUCAGUUCGGAUUGCAGGCUGCAACUCGCCUGCAUGAAGCCGGAAUCGCUAGUAAUCGCGGAUCAGCAUGCCGCGGUGAAUACGUUCCCGGGCCUU